GAAAAUUGCCUUUAUUCUUGAACAUGUACGGGAUUUUUGUAUUGCUUUUAGCCUUUUAUGCUCUCUUACUAUGAUCAGUUUUCUGAUGGAUGCUUUUGCAGGUUCUUUUAAGCUUAGAUCGCCAGGACUAUGUCCAGGCACAGAUCCAGAAAAUCAGCCCCCCGGUGUCUGAUCCAGAUCCUUGCAAAGAGAAGAAAAAGCCUAAAGAAGGGGAAAGUUUUGUGGAAGAAGCGCCAGCUGAUAUGCCGUCACUUCUGGAGCUGAAAUGGAUAUAAUAAGAACCCAUGAUAUGUGGUUUGCUAUAUGGCGAUAUAUGAGAUUCCAUCAGCAAAGGGGAAACCCAGAGUUGUGGAUACCAGUGAAGCUCUUUCAUAUGAGGCUAUGUCAAGUCUUCACUGGAUUUUUCAAGGCACAGCUAUUCAUUCCGUGAUUUAAUUAGUUGCAGGUUCUAAGGAAAAUCUGUUGGUAUGUAGUUCGGUUACCACAUGAUUGGUUACAGUCAAGCUUUUGCAAUACUUUAGAAGAUAUAAAUAUCUCAGAAAUUCCCCAAAUCAGGUUGCAGCUGAAACAAUUGGUCACAAUGGAGGUUAUCCAAUUAACUGCUCUUUGAAGUAAUUUCAGAGAUAAAUUUGAGAAUGAGAAAACCAUGGUCGAAGGUGCACUUGUUGAGAAGGCAGCAGAAGAUCUUAGACAGAGAAUAAGCAAAUAUUAUUACUCGAGGAUUACCUUGAGGAAACUUGCAUAGCUGUUAUGCCUCAGCAUCCAGGUUGAUUAUGUUGAACAUUUAUUUAUUUCUCUUAUCAAUGUCAAUCUUUAUGACUGAUUGCCUAGACCCCUCAUUUAACCCUGGGCAGCCUCUCUUCCCCUGAUACCUGUAGGUUAUGGUUGCUGGACUUGGAUACAAGUUCCAAAAAAGUGGAAAAGAGGUUUUGGUGCCUUAAAGGCCAAGGCUUGUCUUGAGGUUGAGAAUGUUGUGCUUCUAGUUUUUUUCUAUGAAUAUAUCAGACCGAUAUAUAUGCAUACACACUAUGCUUAGUCAACUUCUCAUAAAA